ACGCACAUUGCGCCCGCUAGUAUUCUAGCGGGCAUGCCUGUUCGAGCGUCAUUUCAACCCUCAAGCCCUGCUUGGUGUUGGGGUCCUACGGCUGCCGUAGGCCCUUAAAACUAGUGGCGGGCUCGCUAUAACUCCGAGCGUAGUAGUAAAAUAUCUCGCUAGGGAGGUGUCGCGGGUUCCGGCCGUGAAAGCCCCAUCUUUUACACAAGGUUGACCUCGGAUCAGGUAGGAAUACCCGCUGAACUUAAGCAUAUCAAUAAGCGGAGGAAAAGAAACCAACAGGGAUUGCCCCAGUAACGGCGAGUGAAGCGGCAACAGCUCAAAUUUGAAAUCUGGCUUCGGCCCGAGUUGUAAUUUGUAGAGGAUGCUUUUGGUGAGGUGCCUUGUGAGUUCCCUGGAACGGGACGCCAGAGAGGGUGAGAGCCCCGUAUACUUGGACACCGAGCCUCUGUAAAGCUCCUUCGACGAGUCGAGUAGUUUGGGAAUGCUGCUCUAAAUGGGAGGUAUAUCUCUUCUAAAGCUAAAUAUUGGCCAGAGACCGAUAGCGCACAAGUAGAGUGAUCGAAAGAUGAAAAGCACUUUGAAAAGAGGGUUAAAUAGUACGUGAAAUUGUUGAAAGGGAAGCGCUUGUGACCAGACUUGUGCCGGGCUGAUCAUCCAGUGUUCUCACUGGUGCACUCUGCCCGGCUCAGGCCAGCGUCGGUUCU
rnacentral:rRNA from 1 species